UUGGAGGGCAAGUCUGGUGCCAGCAGCCGCGGUAAUUCCAGCUCCAAUAGCGUAUAUUAAAGUUGUUGCAGUUAAAAAGCUCGUAGUUGAAUUUCGGGGUUCUACCGUUGGUCGGGCUUUGUCUGUACUGGUGUGUAGAAUUUCUACCUUCUGGGGAGCCAUCAUGCUAUUAAUUUAGCGUGGUGGGAAACCAGGACCUUUACCUUGAAAAAAUUAGUGUGAUCAAAGCAGGCUUAUGUCUGAAUACAUUAGCGUGGAAUAAUAGAAUAGGACGGUGGUCCUGUUUUGUUGGUUUCUGAAUCACCGUAAUGAUUAAUAGGGAUAGUUGGGGGCAUUAGUAUUCAAUUGUCAGAGGUGAAAUUCUUGGAUUUAUUGAAGACUAACUUCUGCGAAAGCAUUUGCCAAGGAUGUUUUCAUUAAUCAAGAACGAAAGUUAGGGGAUCGAAGACGAUCAGAUACCGUCGUAGUCUUAACCAUAAACUAUGCCGACUAGGGAUCGGACGAUGUUAAUUUUUCUUGACUCGUUCGGCGCCUUACGGGAAAC
rnacentral:rRNA from 1 species